rnacentral:ncRNA from 1 species
AACCGAGGACGACCUCGGAAACUCCCCCUAUCGGGCGCGGACGACCGCG